AUUGAACGCUGGCGGCAUGCUUUACACAUGCAAGUCGAACGGCAGCGCGGGCUUCGGCCUGGCGGCGAGUGGCGAACGGGUGAGUAAUGCAUCGGAACGUGCCCAGUAGUGGGGGAUAGCCCGGCGAAAGCCGGAUUAAUACCGCAUACGACCUGAGGGUGAAAGCGGGGGACCGAAAGGCCUCGCGCUAUUGGAGCGGCCGAUGUCGGAUUAGCUAGUUGGUGGGGUAAAGGCUUACCAAGGCGACGAUCCGUAGCUGGUCUGAGAGGACGACCAGCCACACUGGGACUGAGACACGGCCCAGACUCCUACGGGAGGCAGCAGUGGGGAAUUUUAGACAAUGGGGGCAAGCCUGAUCCAGCAAUGCCGCGUGAGGGAAGAAGGCCUUCGGGUUGUAAACCGCUUUUGUUCGGGAAGAAAUACUCUGGGCUAAUACCCCGGGGUGAUGACGGUACCGGAAGAAUAAGCACCGGCUAACUACGUG
rnacentral:rRNA from 1 species